rnacentral:rRNA from 1 species
GCAGGGCAGUAAUGUAUCGGAACGUGCCUAGUAGCGAGGAUAACUACGCGGCGUAGCGCUCUACGCUCGCCCUUCGAGAAAGCGAGACCUUCGGGCCUCGCACUAUUAAAACGUGACUAUCGGACCCAGCUGAAUGGUGGGGUAACGGCUCACCAAGGCGACGAUCCGUAGCUGGUUUGAGAGGACGAUACAUCCACACUGGGACUGAGACACGAAGACUCUACAGGAGGCAGCAGUGGGGAAUUUUGGACAAUGGAAACCUGAUCCAGCCAUCCGCGUGUGCGGAAGGCCUUCGGGUUGUAAAAGCACUUUGGCGAGAAAGAAACGGCGGGAUGUGUACCCGAUACAGCGUAAUACCUGCAGAAUAGCUUACCGGCUAACUACGUGCCAGCAGCCGCGGUAAUACGUAGGGUGCGAAAGCGAUGUCCGGAAUUACUGGGCGUAAAGCGUGCGCAGGCGGUUCGGAAAGAAAGAUGUGAAAUCCCAGGCUUAACUUUGGAACUGCAUUUCCAACUACCGAGCUAGAGUGUCAGAGGAGGUGGAAUUCCGCGUGUAGCAGUGAAAUGCGUAGAUAUGCGGAGGAACACACCGGCGAAAAACCUCCUGGGAUAACACUGACAUCAUGCACGAAAAGCGUGAGGCAAACAGGAUUAGAUACCCUGGUAGUCCACGCCACAAACGAUGUCAACUAGCUGUUGGGGCCUUCGGGCCUUGGUACAGCGCAGCUAACGCGUGAAGUUGACGCCUGGGAAGUACGAUCGCAAGAUUAAACUCAAAGGAAUUGACGGGGACCACAAGCGGUGGAUGAUGUGGAUUAAUUCGAUGCAACGCGAAAAACCUUACCUACCCUUGACAUGUCUGGAAUCCCGAAAGAGAUUUGGGAGUGCUCGCAAGAGAACCGGAACACAGGUGCUGCAUGGCUGUCGUCCAGCUCGUGUCGUGAGAUGUUGGGUUAGUCGCAACGAGCGCAACCCUUGUCAUUAGUUGCUACGAAAAGGGCAUCUAAUGAGACUGCCGGUGAACAAGCCGGAGGAAGGUAGAGAUGACGUCAAGUCCUCAUAGCCCUUAUGGGUAAGGGCUUCACACGUCAUACAAUGGUCGGGACAGAGGUGUAACCCGCGAGGGGAGCCAAUCCCAGAAACCCGAUCGUAGUCCGGAUCGGUCUGCAACUCGACUGCGUGAAGUCCAGAAUCAUGGCCAAUCGCCGGAUCAACAUGUCGCAGUGAACUACGUUCCCGGUCUUGUACACACCGCCCGUCACACCAUGGGAGUGGUUUUACCGGUAGUUAGCCCUAACCGUAAGGAGGCGAUUACGGUAGGAUUCAUGACGGGUGAAGUCGUAACGGUAAA